rnacentral:rRNA from 1 species
GACGAACGCUGGCGGCGUGCUUAACACAUGCAAGUCGAACGGAAAGGCCCUGCUUUUGUGGGGUGCUCGAGUGGCGAACGGGUGAGUAACACGUGAGUAACCUGCCCUUGACUUUGGGAUAACUUCAGGAAACUGGGGCUAAUACCGGAUAGGAGCUCCUGCUGCAUGGUGGGGGUUGGAAAGUUUCGGCGGUUGGGGAUGGACUCGCGGCUUAUCAGCUUGUUGGUGGGGUAGUGGCUUACCAAGGCUUUGACGGGUAGCCGGCCUGAGAGGGUGACCGGCCCCAUUGGGACUGGGCUACGGCCCAGCCUCCUACGGGAGGCAGCAGUGGGGAAUAUUGCACUAUGGGCGGAAGCCUGAUGCAGCAACGCCGCGUGCGGGAUGACGGCCUUCGGGUUGUAAACCGCUUUCGCCUGUGACGAAGCGUGAGUGACGGUAAUGGGUAAAGAAGCACCGGCUAACUACGUG